GAGGGUAUAGAUCAAGUGGUAGAGUGCAUGCUUAACAUGCAGGAGGUUCUGGGUUCAAUCCCCAGUACUUCUU
rfam:Camelus ferus unplaced genomic scaffold scaffold264, whole genome shotgun sequence.